AGCGAACGCUGGCGGCAGGCCUAACACAUGCAAGUCGAACGAACCUUUCGGGGUUAGUGGCGGACGGGUGAGUAACACGUGGGAACGUGCCUUUAGGUUCGGAAUAACUCAGGGAAACUUGUGCUAAUACCGAAUGUGCCCUUCGGGGGAAAGAUUUAUCGCCUUUAGAGCGGCCCGCGUCUGAUUAGCUAGUUGGUUGAGGUAAUGGCUCACCAAGGCGACGAUCAGUAGCUGGUCUGGGAGGAUGAUCAGCCACAUUGGGACUGAGACACGGCCCAAACUCCUACGGGAGGCAGCAGUGGGGAAUCUUGCGCAAUGGGCGAAAGCCUGACGCAGCCAUGCCGCGUGAAUGAUGAAGGUAUUAGGAUUGUAAAAUUCUUUCACCGGGGACGAUAAUGACGGUACCCGGAGAAGAAGCCCCGGCUAACUUCGUG
rnacentral:rRNA from 1 species